GUGAAUCAUCAAAUUUUUGAACGCAAAUUGCACUCUCUGGUAUUCCGGAGAGUAUGCCUGUUUGAGGGUCAGUUUACUUAAAAAUAGGUGUGUUUGCUGCCUUUCGUGGUGACGCACCGGAUUUGGGUCGUCUAGCCUUCGGUUAAGUGUCCUAUAAUCUUGCAUGAUUUUUUUCGGACGUAUGUAAAUGAUUUUACGUACGUUUGCGAUAUCGA
rnacentral:misc_RNA from 1 species